ACCCGUCUUGAAACACGGACCAAGGAGUCUAACAUGCGCGCGAGUCGUUGGGUCGGACACGCUCCGCUAAACCCAUAGGCGCAAUGAAAGUGAAGGUUUCCCUCGAGGGACCGAGGGAGGACGGAGGCGCCUCGUCGCGUCUCCCGCACUCCCGGGGCGUCUGAUUCCUCUUUUUGAGGGAAGGCGCACCCAGAGCGCACACGUUGGGACCCGAAAGAUGGUGAACUAU
rnacentral:rRNA from 1 species